rnacentral:rRNA from 1 species
UACGUAGGUGGCAAGCGUUGUCCGGAAUUAUUGGGCGUAAAGCGCGCGCAGGCGGUUUUUUAAGUCUGGCGUAUAAUCCACGGGCUCAACCCGUGUUCGCACCGGAAACUGGGAGACUGGAGUGUAGGAGAGGAAAGUGGAAUUCCACGUGUAGCGGUGAAAUGCGUAGAGAUGUGGAGGAACACCAGUGGCGAAGGCGACUUUCUGGCCUAUAACUGACGCUGAGGCGCGAAAGCGUGGGGAGCAAACAGG